AAAAGGGUAGUUUUUUUUUUUUUAAACAUUUUUUUUUUACUUUGUUUGUUUUGAGGGAGAAGUUAUGUUCACCAAACAUAAGCAGUAACAUUAGUUUGUAGGACAGGAAUUUAGCAGGUGAAGGUUUUUUCUUUACAGCAGAGAAAGAAAAAGGAUAUGUGAUCAAGGCAAUGGGCCAAGUUCUCUGUGGUCUUACGGUUUCUAUCUAAGAUGUGUCAAAGUGAAGCACGGUGCAUUUUCUGGUCAUGAAUCACUUUGCAUGUGGCUUAACUCCAUCUGACUUGCUAAAUACAGUAUUCAGAUUGAUGGAUGAACUGGAAAUGGUGACUCCACAAAUGAUAGAUUCAUGUACUGGAAUGUUCUGGCAAUAUUUCCUAUUACUUCUGCUUUUCUGUAUCUAUUUUGUUCAUGUGCUAGUAUUUUACAUGGUUAGAACACUAACAAAAAUGAUGUAAUUUCUAAUUCUUAUUUUACAAAUUUGUAAUAGUCAUCUGCUGGAGUUUUGCAAAGAGUAGGCUCUCCUUCACAUGAGCACUGUCUGUGUUAUUAACUUUGAAACAUGGAGGUUCUGCUUGACCUAGACUAGCUUCUGGGUUUGGAGAAAUGUUCAGGGAGAUAUUUGGGAUUUGAGUAUUUGAGAUUAAACAUUUCUUGUAUCAAGAUUCAAAACCAGUAGUGUGUUAGCAGUUUUAUUUGAUUACAGACACCUAAAUGCUUCUGUAAUUCAUAAAACCAUUAAAAUUACCAAUUUCUGUAUUAUAUACCACGUAGCCACAUAGGAUUAAUGACAGAUGAUGGUUUGUUCUUGAUGAAUAAAAGUAAUGCAAUUUAAAUAUUUCUGGUAUUGCUGAAAGUGUUUGAUGUUCUUUAUCAAUAAACAUUGAUAUUGAAACUACAUA